rnacentral:rRNA from 1 species
CCCUUAGAUGUCCUGGGCCGCACGCGCGUUACACUGAUGCAUUCAACGAGCUUAUAACCUUGGCCGAGAGGCCUGGGCAAUCUUGUUAACGUGCGUCGUGAUGGGGAUAGAUUAUUGCAAUUAUUAAUCUUCAACGAGGAAUGCCUAGUAAGCGCAAGUCAUCAGCUUGCGUUGAUUACGUCCCUGCCCUUUGUACACACCGCCCGUCGCUCCUACCGAUUGAAUGGUCCGGUGAAGCGUUCGGACCGUGGCCUUUGGACGGUUCGCCGUCUGUUGGCUGCGGGAAGUUCGUUAAACCUUAUCAUUUAGAGGAAGGAGAAGUCGUAACA